GGAGAGAUGCCCGAGCUGGCCGAAGGGGCACGACUGGAAAUCGUGCGUGCCGCCAAGAAGCGGCACCGAGGGUUCGAAUCCCUCUCUCUCCGCCA
rnacentral:tRNA from 1 species